CGGAUGACUUGUGGCUGGGGGUGAAAGGCCAAUCAAACCGGGAGAUAGCUGGUUCUCCCCGAAAGCUAUUUAGGUAGCGCCUCGUGAACUCAUCUUCGGGGGUAGAGCACUGUUUCGGCUAGGGGGUCAUCCCGACUUACCAACCCGAUGCAAACUACGAAUACCGAAGAAUGUUAUCACGGGAGACACACGGCGGGUGCUAACGUCCGUCGUGAAGAGGGAAACAACCCAGACCGCCAGCUAAGGUCCCAAAGUCAUGGUUAAGUGGGAAACGAUGUGGGAAGGCACAGACAGCCAGGAUGUUGGCUUAGAAGCAGCCAUCAUUUAAAGAAAGCGUAAUAGCUCACUGGUCGAGUCGGCCUGCGCGGAAGAUGUAACGGGGCUAAACCAUGCACCGAAGCUGCGGCAGCGACACUAUGUGUUGUUGGGUAGGGGAGCGUUCUGUAAGCCUGCGAAGGUGUGCUGUGAGGCAUGCUGGAGGUAUCAGAAGUGCGAAUGCUGACAUAAGUAACGAUAAAGCGGGUGAAAAGCCCGCUCGCCGGAAGACCAAGGGUUCCUGUCCAACGUUAAUCGGGGCAGGGUGAGUCGACCCCUAAGGCGAGGCCGAAAGGCGUAGUCGAUGGGAAACAGGUUAAUAUUCCUGUACUUGGUGUUACUGCGAAGGGGGGACGGAGAAGGCUAUGUUAGCCGGGCGACGGUUGUCCCGGUUUAAGCAUGUAGGCUGAUUGUCCAGGCAAAUCCGGAUAAUCAAGGCUGAGGUGUGAUGACGAGGCACUACGGUGCUGAAGUAACAAAUGCCCUGCUUCCAGGAAAAGCCUCUAAGCAUCAGGUAACAUUAAAUCGUACCCCAAACCGACACAGGUGGUCAGGUAGAGAAUACCAAGGCGCUUGAGAGAACUCGGGUGAAGGAACUAGGCAAAAUGGUGCCGUAACUUCGGGAGAAGGCACGCUGGUGUGUAGGUGAAGUCCCUGCGGAUGGAGCUGAGACCAGUCGAAGAUACCAGCUGGCUGCAACUGUUUAUUAAAAACACAGCACUGUGCAAACACGAAAGUGGACGUAUACGGUGUGACGCCUGCCCGGUGCCGGAAGGUUAAUUGAUGGGGUUAUCCGUAAGGAGAAGCUCUUGAUCGAAGCCCCGGUAAACGGCGGCCGUAACUAUAACGGUCCUAAGGUAGCGAAAUUCCUUGUCGGGUAAGUUCCGACCUGCACGAAUGGCGUAAUGAUGGCCAGGCUGUCUCCACCCGAGACUCAGUGAAAUUGAACUCGCUGUGAAGAUGCAGUGUACCCGCGGCAAGACGGAAAGACCCCGUGAACCUUUACUAUAGCUUGACACUGAACAUUGAGCCUUGAUGUGUAGGAUAGGUGGGAGGCUUUGAAGCGUGGACGCCAGUCUGCGUGGAGCCAACCUUGAAAUACCACCCUUUAAUGUUUGAUGUUCUAACGUUGGCCCCUUACCGGGGUUGCGGACAGUGUCUGGUGGGUAGUUUGACUGGGGCGGUCUCCUCCCAAAGCGUAACGGAGGAGCACGAAGGUUAGCUAAUCCUGGUCGGACAUCAGGAGGUUAGUGCAAUGGCAUAAGCUAGCUUGACUGCGAGCGUGACGGCGCGAGCAGGUGCGAAAGCAGGUCAUAGUGAUCCGGUGGUUCUGAAUGGAAGGGCCAUCGCUCAACGGAUAAAAGGUACUCCGGGGAUAACAGGCUGAUACCGCCCAAGAGUUCAUAUCGACGGCGGUGUUUGGCACCUCGAUGUCGGCUCAUCACAUCCUGGGGCUGAAGUAGGUCCCAAGGGUAUGGCUGUUCGCCAUUUAAAGUGGUACGCGAGCUGGGUUUAGAACGUCGUGAGACAGUUCGGUCCCUAUCUGCCGUGGGCGCUGGAGAAUUGAGGGGGGCUGCUCCUAGUACGAGAGGACCGGAGUGGACGCAUCACUGGUGUUCGGGUUGUCAUGCCAAUGGCACUGCCCGGUAGCUAAAUGCGGAAGAGAUAAGUGCUGAAAGCAUCUAAGCACGAAACUUGCCCCGAGAUGAGUUCUCCCUGAGACUUUAAGUCUCCUGAAGGAACGUUGAAGACGACGACGUUGAUAGGCCGGGUGUGUAAGCGCAGCGAUGCGUUGAGCUAACCGGUACUAAUGAACCGUGAGGCUUAACCUU
rnacentral:rRNA from 1 species